AACCCCCGCGCGUAAGGGUGAAAAUAUGAAUUUGAACCUUUUCCAGACAAAUUGCAGCUCAAUUAUACUGUAAUUUGUGCAGAGAUGGGGAAGAAAUGGACAAAAAGCCACAUUUCACUGAGUGGAGGAUGAGGAAACGUGGGCAACACAGACUAUAAGGUCCUCAGAGAGCUGGAGGAAGCCAGAUAUGAGGAGGAGCAGCCAAUCAGCUGUCACCUGCUUUGAUGUGUCGGGAGGCUCCAAACGACCAGAGCAGCGCUGCAUGUCAUCUCUUUGGCUCCGCGUUGGACCGUAUUUGCCAGUACAGGCUACUCAACCGAUCCAACAAGCUUAAUUAACAUUAGAACCCAUUAGACGUUCAAGAGACUGAUGAAUAAAACAAUGUUAAGAGA